rnacentral:rRNA from 1 species
UACAUGCCCUCGAGUCCGGGAUAGCGGCGGGAAACUGCCGGUAAUACCGGAUAAUAUCUUUGGAUCAAAGGUGUGAUUCCGCUCGAGGAUUGGACCGCGUUCUAUUAGCUUGUUGGCGGGGUAAUGGCCCACCAAGGCGACGAUGGAUACCGGGUGUGAGAGCAUGGCCCGGCUCACUGGGACUGAGACACUGCCCAGACACCUACGGGUGGCUGCAGUCGAGAAUCUUCGGCAAUGGGGGCAACCCUGACCGAGCGACGCCGCGUGCGGGACGAAGGCCUUCGGGUUGUAAACCGCUGUCAGUUGGGAGGAAAUGCUGGGGGGUUCUCCCCUCAGUUUGACCGAUCUUCAGAGGAAGGACGGGCUAAGUUCGUGCCAGCAGCCGCGGUAAGACGAACCGUCCAAACGUUAUUCGGUAUCACUGGGCUUAAAGCGUGCGUAGGCGGCCUAGUAGGUGAGGUGUGAAAUCCCACGGCUCAACCGUGGAACUGCGCUUCAAACCACUAGGCUCGAGGAUGGCAGGGGUGAUGGGAACUGAUGGUGGAGCGGUGAAAUGCGUUGAUAUCAUCAKGAACACCGGUGGCGAARGCGCAUCACUGGGCCAUUUCUGACGCUGAGGCACGAAAGCUAGGGUAGCGAACGGGAUUAGAUACCCCGGUAGUCCUAGCCGUAAACGAUGAGCAC